GAUGAACGCUGGCGGCGUGCCUAAUACAUGCAAGUCGAGCGAACAGACGAGGAGCUUGCUCCUCUGACGUUAGCGGCGGACGGGUGAGUAACACAUGGAUAACCUACCUAUAAGACUGGGAUAACUUCGGGGAACCGGAUCUAAUACCGGAUAAUAUAUUGAACCGCAUGGUUCACUAGUUAAAGACGGUUUUUCUUUCGCUAAUAGAUGGAUCCGCCCCGCAUUAGCUAGUGGGUAAGGUAACGGCUUAGCAAGGCGGCGAUGCGUAGCCGCCCUGAGAGGGUGAUCGGCCACACGGGAAGUGAGGCACGGUCCAGACUCCUACGGGGAGAAGCAGUAGGGAAUCUUACGCAAUGGGGGAAAGCCUGACGGAGCAACGCCGCGUGAGUGAUGAAGGUCUUCGGAUCGGAGAACUCUGUUAUUAGGGAAGAACAAAUGUGUAAGUAACUAUGCACGUCUUGACGGUACCGAAUCAGAAAGCCACGGCUAACUACGUG
rnacentral:rRNA from 1 species